rnacentral:rRNA from 1 species
AACGAACGCUGGCGGCAGGCUUAACACAUGCAAGUCGAGCGCCCCGCAAGGGGAGCGGCAGACGGAUGAGUAACGCGUGGGAAUCUACCCAUCUCUACGGAAUAACGCAUGGAAACGUGUGCUAAUACCGUAUACGUCCUUUGGGAGAAAGAUUUAUCGGAGAUGGAUGAGCCCGCGUUGGAUUAGCUAGUUGGUGGGGUAAAGGCCUACCAAGGCGACGAUCCAUAGCUGGUCUGAGAGGAUGAUCAGCCACACUGGGACUGAGACACGGCCCAGACUCCUACGGGAGGCAGCAGUGGGGAAUAUUGGACAAUGGGCGCAAGCCUGAUCCAGCCAUGCCGCGUGAGUGAUGAAGGCCCUAGGGUUGUAAAGCUCUUUCACCGGUGAAGAUAAUGACGGUAGCCGGAGAAGAAGCCCCGGCUAACUUCGUGCCAGCCGCCGCGGUAAAAC